GACAAACGCUGGCGGCGUGCCUAAUACAUGCAAGUAGAACGCUGAAGAGAGGAGCUUGCUCUUCUUGGAUGAGUUGCGAACGGGUGAGUAACGCGUAGGUAACCUGCCUUGUAGCGGGGGAUAACUAUUGGAAACGAUAGCUAAUACCGCAUAACAAUGGAUGACACAUGUCAUUUAUUUGAAAGGGGCAAUUGCUCCACUACAAGAUGGACCUGCGUUGUAUUAGCUAGUAGGUGAGGUAAUGGCUCACCUAGGCGACGAUACAUAGCCGACCUGAGAGGGUGAUCGGCCACACUGGGACUGAGACACGGCCCAGACUCCUACGGGAGGCAGCAGUAGGGAAUCUUCGGCAAUGGGGGCAACCCUGACCGAGCAACGCCGCGUGAGUGAAGAAGGUUUUCGGAUCGUAAAGCUCUGUUGUAAGUCAAGAACGGGUGUGAGAGUGGAAAGUUCACACUGUGACGGUAGCUUACCAGAAAGGGACGGCUAACUACGUG
rnacentral:rRNA from 1 species